GAGAGGUUUGCAGUCUAUCAUAUGUGAACGGAGCUGAAUUUAAGAGAAAAGUGAACAUUUUAAGAACCUGUUCGUUGGAAAAAGAAGGGAAUCGAUAACUUUUCAUCUUGUACCGAUCUAUAUUGGGAUUGCAUUGACAGGAUGGGGACCAGAAAGAUCAUAUCAGUUUUCCUGAUUCUAACAGUUCUUUACGGAUUUAUCCAAACCACAAGCCAAGAACUUACAACAACAACUACAACUGCAGCAACAACUACAACUGCUGCACCAACUACUGCUGCACCUACUACCGCU